rnacentral:rRNA from 1 species
CGCCGCGUGGAGGAUGACGCCCUUGGGGUGUAAACUCCCUUUCGAUCGGGACGAUUAUGACGGUACCGGAUGAAGAAGCACCGGCUAACUCUGUGC